rnacentral:rRNA from 1 species
UACGUAGGGUGCAAGCGUUGUCCGGAAUUAUUGGGCGUAAAGAGCUCGUAGGCGGUUCGUCGCGUCGGCUGUGAAAACCCGGAGCUCAACUCCGGGCCUGCAGUCGAUACGGGCGGACUUGAGUGUUGCAGGGGAGACUGGAAUUCCUGGUGUAGCGGUGAAAUGCGCAGAUAUCGGGAGGAACACCGGUGGCGAAGGCGGUUCUCUGGGCCUGUACUGACGCUGAGGAGCGAAAGCGUGGGGAGCGAACAGG